rnacentral:rRNA from 1 species
AUUCCAGCUCCAAUAGCGUAUAUUAAAGUUGUUGCAGUUAAAAAGCUCGUAGUUGAAUUUUGGACCUGGUUGAAUGGUCCCGCCGCAAGGUGGGUACUGUUUGAUUGGGUCUUUCUUUGCGGGGAAUUAGUGUGCUCUUAAUUGGGUGCAUUAAGGAUCCGUAACUUUUACUUUGAAAAAAUUAGAGUGUUUAAAGCAGGCUUAGGCCUGAAUACAUUAGCAUGGAAUAAUAGAAUAGGACCUGUGUUCUAUUUUGUUGGUUUCUAGGACGUAGGUAAUGAUUAAUAGGGACAGUUGGGGGCAUUCAUACUAAUGAGUCAGAGGUGAAAUUCUUCGAUUUCAUUAAGAUGAACUAAUGCGAAGGCAUUUGCCAAGGAUGUUUUCAUCA